GGGCCGUUAGCUCAGUUGGUAGAGCAACUGACUUUUAAUCAGUGGGUCGCAGGUUCGAUUUUUGCAGGGCGCACUA
rnacentral:tRNA from 1 species